rnacentral:rRNA from 1 species
AGUUAGUGGCGGACGGGUGAGUAACGCGUGGGUAACCUGCCUUGUACUGGGGGACAACAGUUGGAAACGACUGCUAAUACCGCAUAAGCCCACGGGUCGGCAUCGACCAGAGGGAAAAGGAGCAAUCCGCUUUGAGAUGGCCUCGCGUCCGAUUAGCUAGUUGGUGAGGUAAUGGCCCACCAAGGCAACGAUCGGUAGCCGGACUGAGAGGUUGAACGGCCACAUUGGGACUGAGACACGGCCCAGACUCCUACGGGAGACAGCAUG